CAGCCGCCGCGGGAAAACGUAGGGUGCAAGCGUUAUCCGGAAUUAUUGGGCGUAAAGAGCUCGUAGGCGGUUUGUCGCGUCUGCUGUGAAAACUGGAGGCUCAGCCUCCAGCCUGCAGUGGGUACGGGCAGACUAGAGUGCGGUAGGGGAGAUUGGAAUUCCUGGUGUAGCGGUGGAAUGCGCAGAUAUCAGGAGGAACACCGAUGGCGAAGGCAGAUCUCUGGGCCGUAACUGACGCUGAGGAGCGAAAGCGUGGGGAGCGAACAGGAUUAGAUACCCCCGUAGUCCCUGUCUCUUAUAC
rnacentral:rRNA from 1 species